CACGGCCUUUGCUCCAGGCCUUCAGCCCCAAUGUCGGUUGCUCUAUAACUAGGAUUCACCUCCCCGGUGCCGUCGCUGCUCAGCUCCCAGUCCUCACCGCUCCGCCGAGUUUCCGCUCCCUCCCUCCUGCGCUAGAAAGGACAUUCGUUCCUGUAUUCUAUAUUUCUAGCGCAUCGCGGCGGAUGCGGGCCGAGGCAGCCUCUCCACGCCCGCCGCCUGCACAGUGCAAGUUGCUGCCCCCUGCCGGGCUGCUCCCCAUUUUGAUCUGUAAUUCGUCUUCGAGAUUGCGUCGUUUUCGUAGGACGAAUAGAGUAUGUGUUGGUUUAUCGUUCAAUUUCAAUGGUGGCGAAAUUGCAGAUUAACUCUUCAUACGGUCACCAUCGUCCACGGGUUGCAUCUGCUAAUCUGUAUGGUGUGACGGCCUUCUCUUUACUGCUGAGAUAUAGGUACGACCCUACCUGACUAUUUGCCUCAAUUAAGAUAAUAAUGACGCGUGGCUACAAACGUGGGUUACAUAUGUGCAUGGUUUUUAAGUCGUCUGAUUAGUUGGUCGAGUAGGAGGGGCGAUCAGUCGACUAAUCAUGAUUAGGAUGACGAUUUGGAUGAUUAGUCGGUCCUGGUCGCCCCUGAUCGUCCAGGUCUUCUAGGGUACACUUGUGCACAUUUAUUACAUAUAAUAUGCAACUUACCUCCUAUCAUAUAUAGAGAGACUCUAUUUGUCAGCACACGUGAUUGGUGGAACGAACCACCUUAGGUGAUGAACCGAGCGAGCAGCGCGUGUGAUUAGUGGAACGAACGAUCAGACCGCGUGAACGGAUCAUGUUAUUUUUGUUGGGCUCCUGCAUAGCGGGGUUCUAUUGGGGCGACGUUUUUUCGCGUCCAGUCAUCCCACCUAUUUUUGUUACAAUUUUAGUCAUUCCGUCACAGUUUCAUCCAUUUUGUUACAUUUUCAGUUUUACUCAUUUCAUUACCCUUUUCAUUUAUUCUGUUACAGAUUCAGCCAUUCAGUUACUGAUUCAGUCAUUUUGUUACAAUUUUACUUAUGUAUGUUACAAUUUUAGUCAUUCCGACAUAGUUUCAGUCAUUCUGUCACAAUUUUAGUCAUCUCGUCACAAUUUCAGUCAUUCUAUUACAGAUUCAGUCAUUCAGUUUCAGUUUCAGUCAUUUUGUUAUAGUUUCAGUUUCAGUCAUUCGGUUACAGUUUUUAUGGUAAUUAGCACAACUUUGAAUAUCUUCCUUAUUCUUAUAAAUCGACACCAAUAUACUUCACUCGUCAGACACCUUAUUUGACUGAAAGAUAUGGUUGAACAAGUUGAUUAGCCAUACUAUAGCUAUGUCCAUGAGGCAUCUUCAUCUUCAUGCCUCAAUCUUAGAAACUGGUAACAUGCAACUUUGCCACGUUCCUCUUUCUGGAAACGCUCGUUCCGUUCCGGGAACAUGGGAACAAUCUCGUUCCCAUAGUAUUAAAACUUAGUUUUAGUAGUGUACCACUUACCAUGUUCCCGUUUCUCGAUGCUAUUCAUCUGGGAACCUAGUUACUAAGGCCUUAAUUGGGAUACCAUCAAGGCCCAUCGUCUUUUUUUUUUCGAAAAACGCAGGAGAACUGCGCCUCAUUAUAUUAAGAAGAAAAAACAAGGUCUAAGCAGACCAGAUACAAAACGACCGACUUCCUUACGGAGGUCGAAAAACUAAAAAACCAAAAUAGUCCAUCUGAGGACAACAACAAACUACUGAAGAAAAAACGUCCUCCGAGGCUAAACCUCAAGAAGGGGGGUAGACAGAUAGGAAAGCCCUUUAGCUCCAGCCAUUUCCCACAUCCAUCUUUCCUCCAUAGCCAUCCUAAUGGCUAAAGUCACAUUAGAAAUCCAGUUAUCAAAGACACAUAUGUUGCGAUGGUUCCAAAUAAUGUAAGCACCCAACGCAAUCAGAGAAUUCAGCCCCUUUCUAACCAGACCACUGACCGAAGAAGAAGCUUCCUCCCACCAGCUCAUGAAGGAGGUCGAACCAAACUGAGGGGCGAGCCUAUGAAGGUCGAAAGUCCUCAGAAGCUGAAACCAGAAAAUCCUUGAGAAAACACAGGAAACCAGGAGAUGGUCUAAAGUUUCCUCCUCUUGAUCACACAGAGGGCAUAUCGGAAGGUGGUCCAGCCCUCUUCUAGCUAAUCUGUCAGCGGUCUAGCACCUGUUGUGCGCAACAAGCCAAAGAAAAAAUCUGCAUUUAGGCAGGGCCCAAGUCCUCCACACCCUGGAAUAGUGGCUGAAAAAGGUAGAUCCCAUGAAGAAUCCUUCGUAAGCCCCUUUUGUUGAAUAGAUACCGUCUGGGGCAAUACUGAAAACAUGUUUUUCUUCAAUAGUAGGCUGCAACACUAUCACAGACAUAAGAUUCCUAAUCUGAAGGUAAUCCACAAAAACUCCCACCGAGAGGGCCCCCUUAAUAUCUGAGAUCCAUCUUCUAUUUAGGAGAGCCUCUCGCAUAGUUCUUCUUUUUGUGAUCCUCUUGGGAAUACACUGAAAAAUCCUUGGAGCAAUAUCACAAAUUCUCUGCCCUGAGAUCCAUUUAUCAGUCCAGAAAAGGGUGUUGGCACCAUUGCCAACUUCUGAAACUAGAACAGUGGAGAAGAAGGCCCGGACCUUAUUCGACACAUGAAAAGGGAGCUGCGCCCAGGGACGAGUUGGAUCAGUUUUGUGCAACCACAUCCAUCUCAUACGAAGAGCCCAACACAUCUCGGGUAGACUGGAGAUGCCCAGACCACCAAGCCUGAGAGGGUGACAAACUCUCCCCCAGGACACAAGACAAUGACCACCCUUGGCCUAUUUGCGACCUCUCCAAAGAAAGCCUUUUUUGAUUUUGUCAAUGGCAUCCCAGGCCCAGGAAGGGAAAUCGAUAGCCAUUGCUAAUUAGACCAUUAUUCCAGUCAAAACAUGCUGAACCUGGAUCCUUCUACCCGCUCUUGUCAAUAGAUCUGCCUUCCAGUUAGGGAGCUGCCUUGCAAUGUUAUCCACAAAAGGUUGUACUUGGUCUUUAGUAAGCUUGACUAGGGAGAGAGGAAGACCAAGAUACUGACAGAGAAACACUGACAGCGCACAAGGCAAUAGAUUUUGAGUAACCGUAAUAUCCUCCACAGAGCAUUGGAUAGGAUAGACAUUGGACUUGCUUUCAUUAUGCUGAAGGCCCGAGGAGGCACCAAACAAAUGCAAAUUCUCCAAAGCUGCUAGGAUAUCAUCCGCCACCGGGUGCAGGAAUAUGCCACAUUGUCAGCAUACAUAGAGACCCAGUGCAAUCUCUGUGAUGGUGACAAAGGUUGUAAAAGUCCUGCAUCUUCUGCUCUAGCAAAUAACAAACCCAGAAUGUCCAUGGAAAGAAUAAAAAGCAUGGGAGAAAGUGGGUAUCCUUGCCUAAGACCCCUCCGAUGGAUAAUGCACUAUCCGGGGAAACCGUUAAGAAGCACUUGAGUGGAAGAAGAGGAGAGCAGCCCACAGAUAAUAUCCCUCCAAAUUUGACCAAAACCGAGGUGUUUCAUGACAUCAAUAAGAAAAGGCCAAGAGACUGAAUCGAAAGCCUUAGUGAUAUCCAACUUGAAGAGAAGACUGGCCUUUUUCUGAUGAUAAAGUAGCCGCGAGGUCUGCUGUACCAACAUGAAGUUAUCCUAAAUAAAUCGCCCCUUUAUGAAAGCACUUUGACUGCGAGAGACCAUCUCAUGAAGCCUUGCAGCCAAUCGAUUGGCAAAGAUUUUAGUGAUGAGCUUAGCAACACUAUGAACCAAACUAAUAGGCCUAAAAUCCUUAACCUGGGCAGCAUCCUCCUUUUUAGGGAUCAGAGUGAUGUAUGCUGAAUUGAGUUUGCCAAAGUUGUUGAAUUUUCUGCCCCAAACUGCUGACACCACUUUCAUGAAAUCAUGUUUGAUUAUGUGCCAACAGACUCUGUAGAAUCGUCCAGUAAAACCAUCGGGUCCAGGUGCCUUAUCAGGGGGGAGACUUACAAUAGUGUCCCAUACCUCUUUUUCAGAAAAAGGUGCAUCCAACUCAGAGAGUUCAUGACUGGGAAUAGCAAGAGCAUCUAAAUCAUUGAUUCUAUCUCUGCCCACAUUUGUACCAAUCAGGUUGAAGAAGAAAUGAUCCACUGCUGCAGCCUUCUCAUCAUGCCCAGUUAAGGUGACAUCCCCUUCCCUCAGAGAGGUUACAAUGUUCUUCCUUUUACGGUGUCUGGCAUGCAAAUGGAAUAGCUUAGAGUUUGCAUCUCCAUCCUUGAGCCACGAUAUUCUGGAUUGCAGCCUGGCCAUGGUCCUUCUCAAGGAAGAAAGCAGCAGGGUAUGCUUCUUUAACUUAUUCUUUAGCCAUAGUUCAUUCAUGGAAAGGAUCCUGUCAUCCUGACCAAUCUCCAACCUAUGAAGGAUUUCCUUGGCCAUGGCUAAUUGGAACCUGAUGUGUCCCACCUGAUUAUUACUCGAAAUAAGACUUUUAGCUGUCUUCUUUAACUUCAGAAAAAAGGAUUGGAAAGGACACAUCUCCCUAGUAACAAAAUCCGAGGCGGUCUGAACAACAUCGUGGAACCCCUCCAAUUUAAUCCAGAAAGCUUCAAAAUGAAAUAUUCUUUUUCCUAAGAUAUUAUCAUGAAGGCCCAAGAUCAAGGGUCAGUGAUCUGAGUCAAUAGAAGCAGAACUCUGAAGCAGAACGUUAGGAAAGAUCAUUUCCCAGUCUACUGAACAAAAAACUCUGUUCAAUUUGACAAGGACAAGGGCUUCACGCUGAUUUGACCAAGUAAAGCGACGUCCAUUCAGGGGAAUCUCCUUAAGAGCCACAUCUUCAAUUAGCCUUCUAAAUCGGUGCAUCAUAGGACGAUUGAGAUUUGAAUUGUUUUUAUCAAUCGCAUGAAGAAUAAUAUUGAAGUCCCCAACAACAAGCCAUGGCCCAUUACAAACAGUCCUGAUAGACCUCAGCUCUUGAAGGAACAUAACCUUUUCUUGAUCGUCUUGGGGCCCAUACACACUAUUGGAGUGAAUAUUCUUUAUGUUAGGGCUAACCCAACAGGGUAGCUAUAUAGUGUUUACAUGGGCCACAUGGGCCUAGCCUUAACAGGCCUAAUACUCUAACACCCCCCGCAGUCUGGACUACCGACGCAGCGGAGUACACAGACUGGACUCAAAAAGAAGUACAUCACACAAUAGGAAUACUCUAACACCCCCCCGCAGUCUGGACUACCGACGCAGCGGAGUACACAGACUGGACUCAAAAGGAAGAAGUACAUCACACAAAAUGAUCCCCCCACAGACUCAACUAGCCACUACUGAUGUUGAGGCUGGAGCGAAACUCGGCGAAGGUCGUGGACGGAAGACCCUUGGUGAAGAUGUCGGCAAACUGGGAGGUGGUCGGGACGUGGAGGACCCGAACAGCACCGGCAGUGACAUAAUCGCGGACGAAGUGUAGAUCGAUCUCUACAUGCUUGGUCCGCUGGUGCUGCACUGGGUUGGUGGAGAGGUAAACCGCGCUAACGUUGUCGCAGUAGACCAACGUGCUCCUGGAGAGGGGACUGUGAAGCUCGGCGAGGAGCUGCCUGAGCAAGGCAGCCUCCGCCACGCCGUUGGCCACGACACGGUACUCCGCCUCUGCACUUGAGCGGGAAACGGCCGGCUGGCGCUUCGACGACCAGGAAACUAGGUUGCCGCCUAAGAAGACGGCGUAACCGGAGGUGGAGCGCCGAGUGUCUGGGCACCCGGCCCAGUCAGCGUCAGUGUAGACGACCAGCUCAGAGGAGGUAGACCGGUGAAGAAGCAGCCCGUAGUCGACGGUGCCCCGGAGGUAGCGGAGGAGAGGCGCUUGAGAGCCGCAAGGUGGGGCUUCCGGGGGUCAUGCAUAUGGAGGCAGACCUGCUGCACGGCAUAGGAGAUGUCCGGCCUGGUGAAUGUGAGGUACUGAAGGGCACCGACAAGACUCCUGUAGUCGGUGGGGUCCACGACUGGGUCACCCGUGGCCUCAGAGAGCUUGGCCUGCGUGUCGACAGGGGUGGAGCAGGGCUUGCAGUCACUCAUCUGGGCCCGCUCCAGAAUGUCAAGAGUAUACUGUCGCUGGUGAAGGAGGAGUCCUGAGGGGCGAGACUCAGCAGUGACCCCCAGGAAAUGGUGAAGCACGCCCAGAUCUUUGACCGGAAACUUCUGCUGAAGGGCGUCGACGAAGCGGCGAAGAAGUGACGGACUGGAGGCGGUGAGGACAAUGUCAUCCACGUAGAGUAGCAAGUAGGCAGUCUCUGCGCCAUGAUGGUGGACGAACAGAGACGUGUCUGACUUGGCCUCCACGAAGCCCAGUGUCACCAGGAACGUAGCCAUCCUGGAGUGCCACGCCCGGGGGGCCUGCUUGAGACCGUAGAGGGACCUGUUGAGCCGGCAGACCAUGUCAAAGCGAGAGGAGUCCACGAACCCCGCAGGCUGGCAGCAGUAGACGGUCUCGGUGAGGGCGCCGUGCAGGAAGGCAUUCUUGACGUCGAGCUGGUGAACUGGCCAGGAGCGAGCGAGGGCCAGCAAGAGCACCGUGCGGACGGUGGCCGGCUUCACAACCGGGCUGAAGGUCUCAUCGUAGUCGACUCCAGGGCGCUGAGUGAAGCCCCGAAGAACCCAACGAGCCUUGUACCGCUCCAGGGUACCAUCAGCCCGCCGCUUGUGUGUCCAGAUCCACUUGCCGGUGAUGACGUUGGUGCCGGGCGGACGGGGCACCAGAUCCCACGUCUGGUUAGCGACGAGCGCCGCGUACUCCUCCUCCAUCGCCUGACGCCAGUGGGGGUCCAGCAGGGCGGUGCGGACGGAGGAGGGUACUGGAGAAACCUGCGAGUCUCCGGACGUGGCCGCCAGGACACGGGGCGGCAGGGUACCAGCGGCGUGCCGCGUCACCAUCGGGUGGACAUGCCGUGGGUCGCGGUGAAGGAGCGGUGGGUGGUACACCGGCGUCUCGACACGUGCCGCAGGAGGCCGCAACAGAGGUGUAGGUGUCCCUGACGGGGACUGGGCCACCGGUGGUGACGGCGGCGGUGGCAGCGACGGCGGUGGCGGCCGGCGCUGGUAGACCCGCACUGGCUGGGCGAAGCGGGCCGGAGGGGUCGGAACCGACGGCUCUGCAGGCGGUGCAGUCCCACCACCCCCGCUCGGCUCGGGGGCGAUCGGAGACAGGGCUCCGCGGAGAGGCGACACCGCCGUAGGCGACACUACCGGACCCGGGCAAGGCACCGAGCUGGAAGUAGGACCGACAUGCGGUGAGUGGGUACCUGCAGGGAGAGGAAGGAUAGGUGGCUCGACCACCGUGUCAGUCGGAAAGGGAGUGAAGAGGUCAGGGUCAGGGUCGGAGGAGGGUGGUGUGGUGGAGUAGGGAAAAACGGACUCAUCAAACACCACAUGGCGAGAGAUGAGAACACGGCGAGAGGAGAGGUCAAAGCAGCGGUAGCCCUUGUGGUCUGGGGAGUACCCGAGAAACACACAGAGGGUGGAGCGGGGUGCUAGCUUGUGAGGAGCAGUGGCCGCGGUGUUCGGAUAGCAAGCACACCCGAAGACACAGAGGUGGUCAUAGCGUGGAGGGGUACCGAAGAGUGCCUGGUGAGGAGUGGGGGCCGGGCACGCAGUGGAAGGUAGACGGUUGAGAAGGUAGGUAGAGGUGUGUAGGGCCUCGACCCAGAAACGUGGCGGUAGGUGCGCCUGGAGAAGAAGAGUCCGGAUGGUGUCGUUGGUCGUGCGGAUCAUGCGCUCAGCCUUGCCAUUCUGGGGGGAGGUGUAGGGCAAGACAUCCGUAACAGCAUGCCGUGGGAGAGAGAAGUCACGGGAGGUGGAGUUAUCGAACUCCCGACCGUUGUCACACUGAACGGCCUUAAUGGUGAGGCCGAACUGAGUGGACACCCAGGCGAAGAAGUGGCGGAGGGUGGGGAAAGUCUCAGACUUGGCACGCAGCGGGAAAGUCCACACAUAAUGAGAAAAAUCAUCAAGCACGACAAGAUAGUAUUUGUAACCCGACAUACUGGUAAUGGGAGAAGUCCACAAAUCACAGUUUACAAGAUCAAAAACAUGAGUAGCAUGCGAGGAAGAAGAGGAAAACGGAAGACGAACAUGGCGGCCUAACUGGCAUGCAUGACAUAGAUGCUCCUCAGGAGAUCGAGUACAUGGGAUAGUGGCACUGCGAGUAAGCUGAAGAAAGGCAUCACGUCCGGGGUGUCCAAGGCGACGAUGCCAGGUAGUAGUAGAUGUGGUGGCGGCAAAAACAGCAGCUAUGUCAGGUGACGAAGACGAAGAAGAUGUGGCGUGCGGAAGCCGAAGGGUGUAGAGGGGCCCCGUGCUGUCACAUCGGAGGAGGGGGCGCCGAGUUGCCGAGUCCUUCACAGUAAGACCAGAAGAGUCAAACUCGACAGAACAAGAAUUAUCAGCAGUAAACCGAUGAAUAGAAAGAAGAUUGUGGACCAAAGAAGGGGCGACAAGAACAUCGGGAAUGCGAAAAGAGCCGGGAGAGCCGGCGGCACCCACAGAUGUGACAGGAAGACACGAGCCAUUCGCCACCAUGAUGGAUGAAGGGAGAGAGGAAGAAGGAGGGCGAACAGAGGUGAGUAUACCAGGGUUGGGAGUGGUGUGGUAGGUAGCACCGGUGUCCACAAUCCACUCGGGACCCAUCGGCGGAGUCAGAGUGGGAGUCUGGAAAGCAGCCAGGGCGGCCGCGUCCCAACCAAUCAGCCCGGACGGUGGCGUAGCCGGCGACGUGGGCCACGACGAAACGGCAGGCGUCGAGGGCCAGGGCGAUGGAGAGGCGAAGGCGAACCCCGGCGGUGAGGUGAACCGGUUGCGCACCAGCGAACAUGACCGUCGGGGGACGAGCGUCAGAACCGGGCCCCUGGAACGGCCACAUGGAGAUGCGACCGGACCACGGGUGGUGAAAAGUGGGCCAAGGCGCACCCUGCGGGGGUCCCGGCGUCGGUGCGUUGCCACGAGCACCACCGUCGGAGCCACCCCCACCACCACCGCGGCCACCACGGCGGCGACGACCACCACCGCCCUCGCCUCCGCCACCUCGACCCCCGCCGCCCAUGCUCGGCCCGGGAGGACGAGGGCCAAUGGCAGACUGUGACAGAGUAGGAGGACGGGUCGGGGUGAAGGCCGCCAGUGCUGUCGAGGAGGACGAGGACCCCGGGCCAGAGAUCGAUGCAACCUGAGCACCAAGAGUGAUCUCCUCCAGGGCGAGGUCGUCGCGGACCUGGAGGAAGGUAGGGAAGGGGCGCUGGCGCAUGAUCAACGACCGGAGGUGGGUGUAGCGAUCGCUGAGGCCGCGGAGGACGUUGAGGACGAGGAUGCGGUCCUCCACGGGGCAGCCCAGAUCGCCAAGUGAGUCCGCCAUGGUCUUCAUCUUGCGGCAGUACUCGCUGAUGCCGAGGUCUCCCUGGACGAAGGUGCGGAAGGCUGCGUCGAGACGGAGAGCCCGGGCCUCGGCGUUGCCCAGGAACUGGCCCUCGAUGGCAAGCCAAGCAGCCCGAGCGUGCGGAAGGUUCCGGAGGAGGCUGUGGAGGUCGACGGAGAUCGUCCCCACGAUCCAGGUGAGUACGAUGCUGUCGAGGCGCACCCACGCAGCAGUCGGCGCCACGCCUGUGGGGUCGCAGAGGACGUGGUCAUCCAGGGCGUAGCGGCGAAGGGUGAGGAGAAGUAAGUCCCGCCAGCGCGUGUAGGAUGGCGACUCAGACUCCAGGACGACCGGAACCAUGAGGCGAAUGUUCUGGACACUCCCAGCCUGUAGGUGGAGCUGAGCCACGAGCGGGUCAGCCGGGUCAUGCUAGAGCACCGUGGGGAUGGUGCGAGGCCCGGUCCCGACUGUCGGUGCAGUCGGGACGCCAUACACGCCGCCCAUGGUGUCGGAGGAGGUGGCCCCGCCGUCGUGGGCCGCAGGCGAGGCGAGGUGUUGUUCCGCCGCGACAAUUUGAGCAGCGAUAGCAUCGGCGGCCUCGCGCUCGCGCUCCCACGCGAGGGCUGCUUCCCGCAAGCGAGCCUGUCGAGCAGCAUGCUCCGCACGGGCAGCGGUGAGGGCGGCGAUAGUGUAUCCCUGGUGGGUGACCGGCGGAGGAGGCGGCGGAUCGACAACCAGCGACGGGGGGAUUGGCGGUGGCGGGUUGGGAUCCUCCAGACCGGCAGUUCCUGCAGGAACCACAUCCGCGCCGGCCGCAAGAGCCGAGGCGGCGCUUGCAGCAGUGGGGGCCCCACCGGCGGCGCUAGGCUCAGCCCCCACGCGGGCUGGAGGGCAGGGGAGACAGGUUCCGACCCCCACGGGCCAGGCACCAGGGGUGGCGCGCCAGUAGGGGAGGCAGUGGCGGCUGGCAGGGGGUGGGGCACGACGGCGCGCCGGCCAGGGGAGGCGGCGUGCACCCAGGAGGAGAGGGGAGGGAAGGAGGAGGUGGAGAGAGAGGGGCGCUGCUGACCAGCCAUGGGCGCCGGGGAAGAAGUGGUGGCGGCGGCACAACCCGGGGCGGCGCGGCCGAGGGCGCGCACGGCGGUGAGUGGGUCGCGGCUGGACGCGGCCAGGCGGCGCAGCAGGGGCGCGCGGCGUAGAACGCCAGUCAGCCGGCGGCCGCCAGAGGCCCCGCGCCAGGCAGCAGGGGCGUCAAAUGGAGGCCGGCGGCGCCAGAAACCCUAGGGUAGGGCAGCGGCGGCUGUAGGGAGGGAAACUGGGCUGAUACCAUAUUGGAGUGAAUAUUCUUUAUGUUAGGGCUAACCCAACAUGGUAGCUAUAUAGUGUUUACAUGGGCCACAUGGGCCUAGCCUUAACAGGCCUAAUACUCUAACACACACAAGUUAACCACCGGCAGGUGCCAUUUUCUUUGCGAAAUUGAACAGAAACACUGUGAUUAUCAAUUUUGGAAGCCCCGGUGGAACCUAAAUAGCUUUUCCAUGCCACCAAAAUACCCCCACUGGCUCCAACAGAAGGAAGGAACACAAAAUCAGCAAAAUCUGCACCUAGCCAAGAGAUAACAGAGAAUCUAGAAAUAUCUUCCAUUUUGGUUUCCUGGAUACAAACUACCUCAGCCCGAAAGGAAGAAACAAGUUCUCUCACCGCACUUUGCCGAGAGGACGAGUUAAGCCCUCUCACAUUCCAACAGAUAAUUUUUGAUGGAUCCAUUAAACGUACAUCAUCAACGCAUCCACAAGGGGAGAAGGCUUAACUAACAGACCCCAUCCGGGGUGCUCCAUCCGAACAGGGCUGACAAAGCCUCCACAUGGCAGGGAGACAGAGGCUGCAUAAACAGACUGACAUACUCCUGCAAAGCUUCCUGGUUGAUUCCCUCAUUUUCUGAGAUGACAUGCAGGGACCUCAUGACUUUCUUGGUGGCCCUACUUCCCAAAUCUUGCAUGUUAAAUUCCACCCCCACACCUGCUACUCGACGACUUCUUCUUGGAGCAGAGAUAGUUUUUGUUGGAAGAGCACAGCUUGGAGCCGAAACCAGGGCUGAAGCUUGCCGAGUAAUCUUUUUGAAAAAAAUCUUCUCUUAUCUUUUGAGGCAUCAGAAAUUGUGACUCAUUUGCAGCUGUCCCAUCAUCCUGAACUGAAGUAGCCAUAAAAGACGCAGUUGCAUCAGGCGCCUCUGCUGCAACGCACAAACCAGCCAACUCCGUAGAUUGAGCAGAAACUGACAAUGCCGAGUCCCCAGUAGCGACUUGCAGCAGUGGUGCAGAUGGAGCAGGCAGAGCUGCUGCAACUUCCGCGACAUCAACUAACUGAGUGUCCGGAAGCCUUUGACCCAAUCUUUUACUGUAGUAAACCAACAUGGGAGGGGGAGCAACUGGUUCUCGGACAUGGCAGCGGGGGGAUAAACCUUCCAAAACGUUCUUCGAGGUCAUCUUGCUUGUAGCUUGAGUGGCAGAACGGGAUGAGCUCAACCCAGCCUUCUCUAGCGGCCCAGCCAUACUCCUGCGCUGAGGCGAAGAAGGUCUAGGGGAGGUCAGCAGCCCAUCACCAACACAGAAAACAGCAUCGGGAGCAACUGGAUCAUGAUCAUGGCAGCGGGGGGAUAAAUCUUCCAAAACGUUCUUCGAGGUUGUCAUGCUUGGAGCUUGAGUGGCAAAACGGGGCGAGCUCAACCCAGCCUUCUCCAGCGGCUCAGCCAUACUUCUGCGCUGAGGCGAAGAAGGUCUAGGGGAGGUCAGCGGCCCAUCACCAACACAGAAAGCAGCACCAUCUUCCAGAGCUAAAACCGGCGCCUCAGCCUUAUCCCCAUCUUCCAAGCCCAUCGUCUUACCCUCUUUUAUCCUUUUCAAUGACUCUAACCUCAAAUUCUUGGAUCUGACGCAUCAAAAAGUCAUCUAACUAAAAUGUUGUGUUCUCAUUCUCCUUAUUAAACAAUUUGUCAAAAAAAUCUCACGAUGUCUAAUUUCAUCCUCUUCACCAAUAGGUGCCUCAUUUCAUCCUUAAAUGCACUUAUCUUGGUUAAAGUUCCUUGUCUUCCUCUCACAGACCCUAGUCAUCCUAUCUAUGUAUUUCUCUCUUUUCUUCGUACUCAAAUGUUGCUAAAGAUCCUUGUAUGUCCUACUGUUGCCACACUUACCGCGCGCUUUGUGGUCUUCUACUACCUUGUACUUCUCUAUGUUGUCCAUACUCUUGUCAUGGUACAAACGUCUAUAACAUUCUUUCUUCUCCUCAAUAGCUUUUUGGACUUCCUCGUUUCACCACCAAAUAUCUUUAGUUUUGCCUCCACUCUCUUUGGUUUCUCCACACACCUCUAAGGCCACCUUCCGAAUGCAGGUUGAGGUUGCUAUCUUCUCCCACAUAUUGUUUGUGCAUCUUCUUCCUUUCAAGUGCCCUCUUUGAUGGCCCUUUUCUUAAAAACGUUUGUUGUCUCUCCUUUUAGUUUCCACCGCUUUGUUCUCGCUAUCUUCGCUAGUAUACCCUAUAGGCACGCACCUGAAAAUGAAUGAUUGCCACCACAAGCUUAAGUUGAGAGACAACACACUCCAUAGGUAUCGCCUUGCAAUCCAAGCAUGCUCGUUUAUCCUCUCUUCUUGUGAGGACAAAAUCAAUCUGACUAUAGUGUUGAACACUACUAUGUGUCAUUAAAUGGGAUUCUCUCUUCCUAAAGAAAGUGUUGGCUAUCAACGGGUCAAAAGCUAUCACAAAAUUCAAGACUUCCUCACCCUUUUGAUUCCUACUACCAUAGCCAAAACCUCUAUGAACCGCAUCGAAACUUACACUUGUUGUACCUACAUGCGCAUUGAGAUCUCCUCCUAUGAAACGCUUCUCACUAAUAGAUGUAUCUCUAGCCAUAUCAUCUAAGUCUUCCUCCAAAAAGUCUCUUAGCACUCUCAUCAUGGCCUACUUGAGGGACAUACACUCUAAUCAUGUUAAGACCAAAUCAUCCACGACAAGCUUGACUAAGAUAAUCCUAUUUCCUUGCCUUAUCACAUCGACCACACCGUUCUUGAGACUCUUAUAAAUCAAAAUUCCUACUCUAUUUCUAUUUACAGUUGUCCUUGUAUACCAAAACUUAAAGCCAGGACUGUCCACCUUCUUCGUUUUCGGACCCUUCCAUCUAGUCUUUCGGACACACAAGAUAUUUAUACAAGGACAACUGUAAAUAUCUUGUGUGUCCGAAAGACUAGAUGGAAGGGUCCGAAAACGAAGGGUCCUUCAAGUUGUUGUCUCAACUAAUUCCCUUAACUUACCUGUAAGCGACCAUACAUUCCAAUUACCCAAACGAAUCCUAGUUGAUUCAACUAGCUUCCUUACCCUUCGCAUCUAUCGAUGAUAUGAAGACCCUUGCAUAUUUUUUAUUACACUCAGAUGUCGAUGUAGCGUGCCACUGAGGAAUUAGUGACUCGAUCCUUGCUCACUCAUUGCCUAGUUCACGAUACGGCACAUCACUUAUACAAAAUACAUUAUACAUAAAUAAUUUAAUUUAUCUAGUUCCAAGGUGAUAUAAAAAUUUAGAUGUGUACAUCUGAUGUAUGAACUUCAAGAAUCCAGUUACAAACAAUACAUAAUAGUGAGUCCAAUUUGCAGGGAAAUAAGUACAACAUACUUCUGUAUGAUAAUAAUGUAGAAAAAAAACAAGAGAGUAAAGGACUGUUCAUGAUAUUCUGCGGAUAGAAAGAUAGAUCACAUUAAGAUGUUCAGGUUCAUGCCUGGUUACAACACAGUAUUUUGGUAGGACUUGCAGUUGCAGGAAAAUAAAUAUCCACCUCAUAAAAGCUUCUUUUGCUCUUUAUGUUGUAGUGGAAUUCAGACACUUCAAAGAGGCCCUUAGUGUGGCGUCCCAAGAGAUGAUUUAAAAUCGUGCUCCAAGCUAUUGAAUCUUUGGCUGUAUUGAGACUCUGCAUUAGAACUACCACCCAAGGUAAUAGAAAACGUCUCGUAUCUAGAUUCAGCUCCUGUACAAAGCAAUGGUUGUAUCUCUUCAGCAUUAUCUUGAACAACAUGGCAUGAAUUUGACCGUUUUGUUCUCAAGAGCUGCAAAUUCAUCUCGACUUGCUUCAUAGUAGGUCUCUCCCCACUGUUGAGUCUCAAACACAUCUCUGCAAGCGAGGCAAUGCUAUUAAUCUCUUCCUCGGUUGCUUCCUCACAAACCUGAGUAGCCACUAUCUCUUUUGUUGGCCUUGUCUUCAUCUCCCAAAGAAAGUAAUUAGAUAAGUUCUGCUUUGACCCUGUCUCACUUGUAAUGAUAGGCUCCCUUCUCAGGAGUAGUUCCACAAGCACAACACCGAAACUAUAUACAUCACUCUUAUCAUUUAGCUGUCCAGUAUGGUAAUACUCUGGGUCUAAGUACCCAAAUGUACCUUGGAUAUUUGUGACAACAUGAGUUUGGUCAAUAGGAACCAAUCUAGAAGCACCAAAAUCUGAAACUUUUGCAGUAUAGUUUGAAUCUAGUAGUAUGUUAGAGGACUUCACAUCUCGAUGGAAGAUUGAUACUGAAGCUGCUGAGUGUAGAUAAUAGAGAGCCCCUGCAGCUUCUGCAGCUAUUCUUAAGCAGUCAUCCCAUGACAAUGAGAAACCACUGCUUGAACUAGAAUGUAGAAUUUCGAACAAUGAUCCAUUUGAAAUGAAGUCAUACACCAACAGUGGGACCUCAGUUUCAAGACAACACCCAAAAAGCUUCACUAUAUUUCUAUGAUUUAUUUGAGAGAGAAUUGCUACCUCAUUAAUGAAUUGACUGAUCUCACCUUCCUCAAUGUUCUUAGACCUUUUUAUUGCCACCACACGCUGGUCAGAUAAGAUACCCUUAUACACCAUGCCAUGGCCUCCAUGGCCAAUGAUUCGUGUAGGAUCAAAAUUGUUUGUUGCCUUUUCCAGGUCUUCCAAAGUGAAAAUCUUUGUUUUUUCACUUGCAUUUUCAUCGGAUGAUAUCAGUUGUUCCAAGAGAAGGCCUUUAUUUUUCUGAAAAUAUUUUUUUCGUUGCUGCUUUUUGAUGUCCCUUUUCCAUUUGCGAAGAAGCACUGUUGCACAUAAGCCGAGAAGUAAAAUCCCGAUGCCACUGCUAAGCCCAAUCACAAUACCUGCGAUAGUUAUGUUCCUUAGUCUGGUUCUGCUUUAUCUUUUCCUUGUUAGCUGUCAAAUUACAAUUGUACAAAGCUCACCUAAUAGAAGAUUUUGCUUUUUCGUACUUUCCCCAUUAAUUGGUAAAGCUGCAAAUAUCCAUGUUAUUUGGAGAGUACAAGAAAGUUAGAAUUUUAGUCCAACUGAACUUAGAGCAGAUAUAAGUAGAUUCCCAGAACAAUAUUGCGAUCUGGAAAAUCUGACUGUUGGAUUUCAUUCUGAAAAAAACGAACAAGGAUAUUGAAGAUCCCAUGUGUUGGAGCACUAAGGUCAUCUUUAUAAAAGAAUGUGAUUUGUGGAAAGUUUUGUUUUCACUCGUAACAGAGUGAAUUUCAGUUUUGUCAGAGUUAUGUCUUUUAAAAUGUUGAGGCAAAUCCUAACUCAAAGCUAGUAACACAACAAGAUGAAAUCACAUGUAAAGAUUUAAAGUUAUGGUAAUCAGUCUAUUGACUUCAGCCUGGUUAGUGCUAUUUUUUUUGAACGUAAUGGCAGGAGCUUUGCCUCUCAAUUAAGAAGAAAUGGAUUUGACCCUGUUUUAAAGAAAACCGAGCCCAAAACCUAACAAGUACAAGAAGGUUGCCCUACGUGGAGCAAACAAAGGACACACGAAGGGCUAACCCACCAACAUGACGCGGAAGAGCACACAAACUGCCAUGAGUCAUCGUUGCCAAGCAUGAUUGCAAAGCAACCAGUAGCUCUAACUUCCUAUGGCAACCCUAGACGAACCAAACGAAAACAGACAGACUGCCCGAGGGGAAAGGUCGCAAUAGAUCAUCGUUGCCAAGCUCAAGCCAAAGAGCAGCUCUGACUUUCAUACAUGAACCCUCGCCCCGCCCCCGGCUAAUGCCCAACCACCGAAACAAACCAGCCCACGAAGAAGGGGGAUUCGCUUCAUGUCAUCGUUGUCGAGCCAUAUCCCCUGACGUAGCAGCUUCGACUUCACGUUGCAAAGACCCCACCUCCACCCGCACACCGGACGUCGAGAAGCAAAGGCAUCAGCCGAAGGCGACGUCGAGGCCGAGACGAACUUCAAUAGUGACGCCUUCAGGAAGAGAAUGACGUCACCUGACGCCACCGCCGCUUGUCCACGAUGGACUGGGCUUUCGCCCAUGGAAGACAGUACUGGGGAAGCGACACCCUCAACAGGGGAAGCGGCGCCCAUGGGCGUCACCGUCGCAAAGACUUUCGUCCAAGAAGCCCCACGACACAUCGCCAGGCCAAGACACCGGGCCAUAGCAAGCUGCCUCUGUUGUCGUCGCUGCCCUGACAUCCCGCAUAAACCCUUCGAGAGGGGCAUCGACGCGUCAGCCGCCACCCCCUUCGUCCAGGCAUAUGGAACCGGGCAGAAAACCUUUCCGCGCGCAACACACAUCCACGCGCCAAAGCCGAUGCCGACCGUCGCUGCCGCCCCUGGCACUCGCAGCCACCGUAGCUAGCUGCCACCAGGCGCGAGUGCCUCACCAUCGGCCGCUGCCCCUAGCUCAUGGUCCUCGGAUCUGGCCACGAAGACGGAGAAUCUAGAGACCCAAGCUAGCGCAGUCGCCCCACCAUAGCCGACUCCACCAGCGCUUCCCCAGACCUGGGGGCACCGGACCCGGCGGCCAGGACACUAGAACCGCUAGCCCAAGUCCCCGAGCAUCCCCAUCCUGCUCAUUGGCGAGCAACGUGGAGCAGCCACCGGCCAAGCAGCAAGGGGGUAGAAGACGAGGUCGAGGAAGGUCACUGGCUGGCACUGGUGUAGAGGAGAGGAGGGACCCGCCGCACGGAACGCGCGACGCCACCAGCGGCAUGGCGUCCUGAGCCCUGGCAUGGCACCCAUGGGCACGACGCCCCUGUACACGGGGCUGAAACCGCCCCAACCCAAGAAGAAGACGCCCACGGAAGCCCCCCACCAACGACGACGGCGUGGGGGACGGCGCCUGCCCCAGCCGCGCCCGCGGCUGGCCCUUCCUCUACCUGCUCCCAGCUACGGCUCCGCCGACGCCGCCCAGGCGCCCACGGAAGAGGACAGCCACGCUGACGCCGACCCCAGCAUGAGCUCGCUCGCCGGCGCAACGCGAAGAUCGCCCGUCACAGAAUCCGCUCAGAUUAGAGCACAUGGAGACCAAACAAAGGGAGAAACAUGUUAGCACUCUGGAGAUGGGACCGGAUGAACUGAAGACUGUGGAAUCCGGAGGAACGCAGCAGACUCGCAUGCAACGGAAGAAGCGUGCCAAUACUCGAGUAACCGCGCUGGAUUGGGCCGUGUAGUUGGGCUGCGUCUUGUAAAGGAUUACGUUUUACCGUUGGCGUAUUAUGUUGUGUCGACUGCAUAUAAAAAGAAGUCGAGGACUUCUCCAGACAAGAAGAAUGAGAAUAAUGAAGUCCCAACCCCUGCAUCCUUCUUCUACCUCUAGCAUACUUCCUGUAUUCUUCCCGAUUCCUAUCUUCUCAUCGUAGUCUUAGGCCGCGGAGGCUAACAGUUGGUAUCAGACUUCGAUCCUGGAUCCUCGAUGUUCCUUUCCACGUCGUCCACGGUCGGCGGCCAUGGAGUACCACGACUUGACGCACAAGCUGCUCGAGCAAAUGCAGCAAAUGGAAGAUCGCCUGACACGGAAGAUCGAGGGCGCUGUGUGGGGCUGGAGCGCAGAUUCGAGGUGCGUUGUGCCAGCUUCCACAAUCACUUCACCGCUCAGUGCGAAGAACUGCAUCAUGCAGUGGACAACACGGCAUCGCACGACGAAGAACGACUCAUCGCCUUGGAAAUGGCAAGAACAGAGGUGGAGCAGUGGAAGCCAGAUCUUGAGAAGCGCCUGACGGACAUGGCCCUGGAGAUCACGCGUGUCAACAAAUUCCUUGAACGCGAACAUUGUUCGCCUGCAACGUGUGAACCAAGGAUCUGCGGUCCCUAUGGGUCGACUACUGGGCACGUACCAGCCAGGUUCUAGCAAGUCGACAGGCAAUUCGGCCACCGCUCUGACCAGUGUUACCGGGAUCAUGAAUCUGGGUAUGCCAAUACCUGGACGAACGACCCGGUCAAGGGUACGUAUCUUCCUCCGUUUCAUCGUUGUGCUGGAUUUGGGAACGAUACUGAUUGCAGUCGAGAAAACAGGCACUCUUCUUUGGGUCGGCUACCUAAAAUCAAUUUUCCACAAUUUGAUGGUACUGAACCGCAGUUGUGGAAGAGGCAGUGUGAGAGUUAUUUUGAGAUGUAUGAAACUGAACCUGCGAUGUGGGUCAAAGUGGCUUCGAUGUACUUUGGUGGCCGCGCGUCGUGCUGGUUGCAGUCGAUAGAAAAGCAGCUGCGCCAGUUCGCUUGGGAGGAAUUUUGUGGAUUAGUUCAUGAUCGGUUCGGACGAGAACAACAUGAGUCCUUGAUUUGUCGGCCUUUUCAUAUCAGGUAGAAUGGCCCUGUCUCUGAAUAUGUGGAACGAUUCACAUCUCUGGUGGACGAGUUAGCUGCUUAUGAGUCCCAGACCGAUCCACUUUAUUAUGCGAUGCGUUUUGUAGACAGUCUGAGAGACGAAAUCAAAACAGUUGUUAUGGUACAGAGACCACACAACUUGGGUACUGCUUGUUCUCUUGCUAUUGUGUAGGAGGCUGUGGAAUCCAGCCGGCGUCGACGCUUUGAACCAUCAGUCAACAAGGCUUGGAAGUCGGGACUAGCAUCUGCAGAAGCAGUUCGGACAGAAUGGCUACCAAUUCAGGCAGCAGUAACGGACAAAGCAACUUCUGAUACAGCCCGACACACUUCGGUGGUUGAUCGGGUAGCUUCACUCAACUUGUUCUCUUGCUAUUGUGUAGGAGGCUGUGGAAUCCAGCCGGCGUCGACGCUUUGAACCAUCAGUCAACAAGGCUUGGAAGUCGGGACUAGCAUCUGCAGAAGCAGUUCGGACAGAACGGCUACCAAUUCAGGGAGCAGUAACGGACAAAGCAACUUCUGAUACAGCCCGACACACUUCGGUGGUUGAUCGGGUAGCUUCACUCAAAAGUUAUCGAAGAGCAAGGGGCUUAUGUGAUCGAUGUGCAGAGAAAUGGUCUCAUGGUCACAGAUGUGCUACUACGGUGCAAUUGCAUGCUAUUGAGGAAGUCUGGGAACUAUUGGGUUCAGAAGAAACAACUGAAGAAGUUUCUGAACCUGAACAACAAAUAAUGAUGGUUUUAUCUAUGGCUGCAUGGGCCGGUCACGAUACUCCCAGCACAUUUCGGUUGCAGGGAAUGUUGCAGAAUCAGGAAUUGUUGGUGUUAAUUGAUUCUGGCUCUUCGCACACGUUUUUGAAUUCCAAAUUGUUACCUCUGUUGCAGGGUGUGGACAAAUUGUCUACUCCAAUUACAGUACAAGUGGCUAAUGGACAGAUACUCAAAUGUGAACAUUAUUUACUUGCAGCAAACUGGGUCAUGUCAGGAGUACAAUUCUCUGCAGAUCUAAAAUUUUUGCCACUACCAUCUUUUGAUCUAGUGGUUGGCAUGGACUGGUUCACGCAAUACAGCCCAAUGAAAAUUGACUGGGCAAACAAAUGGAUAACAAUUCAGUAUCAAGGCCAUUCUGUUAGGAUGCAAGAUGUACUGUCCUUUCACCCAGGAGCAAGAUUGGAACUGAUGUUAAUAUCAGAUACUGAACAGUGUCAGGUCUCGAUAGAACCAGUGGGUACACACACUGAUCCCAGAUUGGUGACCAUACUUCUUCAGUUUGCAGAGUUAUUUUCUGAACCAGUUGGCCUGCCUCCUAAUAGACAAUGUGACCAUGCUAUCCCUCUAAUAGAUGGAGCUCAACCUUGUAAUGUGAAGCCUUAUCGUUAUCCUCCUCUUCUCAAGGAUGAAAUCGAGAAGCAAGUUAAAGAUAUGUUAGAGCAAGGUGUGAUUCAGAAGAGUCACAAUUCUUUUGCCUCUCCAGUGCUGCUAGUAAAAAAGAAAGACCAUACUUGGCGUUUUUUUGUGGACUACAGAUAUCUCAAUGCCCUAACUAUUAAAAGCAAGUAUCCAGUGCCCAUUUUUGAUCAAUUAAUGGAUGAGCUGUCAGCUGCCAAGUGGUUCAUCAAACUGGACUUAAGGGUAGGGUAUCACCAGAUAUUACUGCAACAAGGAGAAGAACACAAGACUGCCUUUCAAACUCAUAUGGGACAUUUCGAAUUUAGAGUAAUGGCUUUUGGCCUUACCAGUGCUCCCAACACAUUUUUGGAAGCCAUGAAUGAUACUCUAGCACCAGUUCUAAGGAAGUGUGAUCUGGUUUUUUUUAUGACAUCUUAAUAUACAGUCCCUCUUUUGAAACCCAUCUAGAUUAUUCGACACUGGUGUUACAGUUGUUGCAGAAGGAUAAUAUGCUAUUUAGGACAUGUAAUCAGUGCUGAUGGAGUAGCAACUGAUCCAUGAAAGAUACAAGUGAUUGAACAAUGGCCUGUUCCUACAUCUGUCAAAGCCUUGAGGAGCUUCUUGGGGUUGGCCGGCUUCUAUCUAAAAUUUGUGCGUCACUUUGCUACUAUCAGCAGACCCCACACAGAGUUGUUAAAGAAACAUGUAAUUUUCAUUUGGACAACUGUGCAUCAGCAAGCAUUUGACUGUCUAAAGAAAGCCUUGGUGUCUGCACCAGUAUUGGCCCUGCCUGACUUCUCUGUCACUUUCAGUAUUUACACUGAUGCUUGUCUGACUGGUGUGGGAGCAGUAUUGGUUCAAAAAGGGCACCCGUUGGCAUAUCUCAGCAAAGCCCUGGGACCCAGAAAUCAAGGUUUAUCUACCUAUGAGAAAGAAUACAUGGCUAUUCUGCUAGCAGUAGCACAAUGGAGAUCAUAUCUUCAGUUGGUUGAAUUCUACAUCUACACGGAUCAUCAGAGUUUAACUCAAUUAAAUGAGCAAAGACUUCAUACUAUGUGGCAGCAGAAGGUCUAUUCCAAGUUAGCUAGUUUACAAUAUAGAAUCAUCUAUAAGAAAGGAUCAGAGAACACUGCUGAUGCUCUCUCACGAUAUCCUCAUACCCAGGGACAAUUGUUUCAUGUGUCUCACUGCACACCAAUCUGGAUACAGGAGGUUGUGCAAGGCUAUGAACAAGAUGAUUUAGCUCAAUAGCUAUUGAGCCAACUGGCGGUGGCUUCACAAACAACUAACUCAGACUUCACCUUAAAGGAUGGAGUUAUCCGAUAUAAAGGUCGCAUUUGGUUGGGCACUAAUGUGCAGCUGCAAAAUAAGGUCAUAUCAGCCCUCCACGAUUCAGCUUUGGGUGGACAUUCGGGAGCCCCGGUUUCCUACAGAAGAAUCAAACAGCUGUUCUAUUGGAAGGGCAUGAAGCAAGCUAUUCAUCGUUUUGUGCAGACCUGUAGUAUCUGUCAGCAAGCAAAGCCAGACAGACUAAAAUCUCCGGGUUUAUUAUCACCACUGCCAGCUCCCCCUCAUGCCUGGCACACAGUGUCUCUUGAUUUCAUAGAAGGACUACCUCAAUCAGCUAACAUGAAUUGCAUUUUGAUGAUUGUGGACAAGUUUUCCCAAUACAGUCACUUCUUAGCUUUGGCACAUCCCUUCACAGCUGUUAAGGUGGCCAGAUUAUUCUUAGACCAAGGCUACAGAUUACAUGGUAUGCCAUUCACCAUAGUAUCUGAUAGGGACAGGAUCUUCACCAGUCAGUUUUGGCAGCAACUGUUUUCUCUCACUGGCACCAAACUCAGUAUGAGUUCUGCGUAUCACCCACAAACCGAUGGGCAGACAGAGAGGGUUAAUCCGUGCAUUGAGACAUAUUUGCGUUGUUUCGUUCACACAUGCCCGGGCAAAUGGUUUCAGUGGCUCCCAGUUGCUGAAUUUUGGUAUAACACCAACAUUCACUCUUCCUUGGGUACAUCUCCAUUCGAAGUUUUGUAUGGGUAUCUACCUCGCCACUUUGGUAUUCAGGAUUCCACGGUGGUUCCUUUUGAUGAUCUGAAUUCUUGGCUGAAAGACAGAGAGUUGGUUACUAAGUUGGCUCGGCAACACUUAUUGCACGCUCAAGCUUGGAUGAAAUAUCAAGUCGAUAAGAAUCGGACUGAACGAGUAUUUCAAGUGGGUGAUAAAGUGCAUUUGAAGCUCUAGCCGUAUGUUCAGUCAUCUCUCGCAACUCGAUCCAAUCAGAAAUUGGCGUUCAAAUUUUUUGGACCUUACACAGUGCUACAACGCAUUGGUGAUGUCGCAUACAAAUUACAGUUACCUGACAGUUCCAACAUGCAUCUAGUCUUUCAUGUAUCUCAAUUGAAGACUGUGUUGAGCAGAGAUCAUAAACUAAUUCCUCAGCUGCCAGAUGAUGCUAAUGUCUUUUAGAUUCCAGUUCAAAUUCUUCAGAGUCGUAUGGUGCAGCGUUGGAGGCUCUUUUGUGGCACAAGUGCUGGUUCUCUGGUCAGGUUUGGAUGCUUCAUUAGCAACAUGGGAGGAUCAGGAUGCUCUGAAGAAUCGAUUUCCCAAUGCACCAACUUGGGGACAAGCCAUAUUUGAAGGAGAGGGGAAUGUUAGCACUUUGGAGAUGGGACCGGUUGAACUGAAGACUGUGGAAUCCGGAGGAACGCAGCAGCCUCGCGUGCAACGGAAGAAGCGCGCCAAUACUCGAGUACCCGGGCCGGAUUGGGCCGUGUAGUUGGGCUGCGUCUUGUAAAGGAUUACGUUUUACCAUUGGAGUAUUAUGUUGUGUCGACUGCGUAUAAAAAGAAGUCGAGGACUCUCCUCCAGACAAGAAGAAUGAGAACAACGAAGUCCCAACCCUUGCAUCCUUCUUCUACCUCUAGCAUACUUCCUGUAUUCUUCCGGUUCCUAUAUUCUCUUCAUAGUCUUAGGCCACGGAGGCUAACAAAACACCCCGCCACCGCCGUUCUUGGGGUCCGCGCCGGCCACCGGUAGACUCCUCCGGCGACGGUGGAGGGGAGGGGGGGGAGGAGGAGAGAGUGGCGGCGCUAGGGUUUGGGGGCCUCCCGUGUCGCCCGAGCGGAGGACGACGCGGGGGCGUUUUUCAGGUGCUGGUUAGUGCUAUUUAUGUGUAGCUUGUUAUGGUUUCCAGACAUUGGCCCUGUUUGGGACAGCUGCUGCUUGUUGAAAAAGCAGCUUAUCUGAUAAGCUGGUAAAAAGCAGCUUCUGCUUGUUGGCUGCUUUUAGUUCAUUUUGAGAAGCAGCUGAACUGAUAAGCUGCUGCAGAAGCUGCCUGUUUGGCAGGACUUCAGCUUAAAUUUGUGAAGAAGCUGAAAAUAAGCUGUACCAAACAGGGCCAUUGUUGUUCACUAUAGGUGUGCAUUUGGGCCGCCCGGCCCGGCCCAAGCCCGAAAAGGUCCGUAUUGUUUGAAUUUCCGGCCGGCCCGGUCCGUUUGAAUUUCGGGCCGUGUCGGGCCAGCCCACGGGCCUAGCCCUCGGCCCACGGCUCGGUCCGUAAUUGCUUAAACGUGUUGUGCUCAUUUCGGGUGGCCCGAAAUUAUAAAAGCCGAAAUUCAAUUUUUGGCCUGAAAUUCACAUUAGGGCCCGAAAUUCAGUUUUUGGCCCGAAAUUCACAUCAGAGCCCUAAAUUCAAAAAAAAAAUAAUAAAACAAAUAAAAGAUAAGACAAAUAAAUUUGAACAAAAGAAAACUUAAUAUUUAUAUUAAAGUUACCAUAGCUAUGCAAUGACUACCUCGUUUAUAAAUCAUUUUGUUAGAAGGAAAAAGAGUAUAAUCAGCUCUAUAUAAAGUUCGUAAGUUCAGUUUAUUGUCUAAUGUUCAUAACAAAAGUAAAAUUACAUCACAUACUCUAAUUCAAAGCUACAAAAAACAUCUAACUAGUAUUAUCUCUAGUUUUGUAUUCUUUAUCAAGUAUAUGAAAGUGUGGAAUGAAGUGUGGUUUUAAUAAAUAUAUGGGCCUUUUCGUGCCUCUAUAUGGGCCAUUUCGUGCCUGCCUUAAACGGGCCGUGCUCGUGCCCGUCCAUGGGCCGUGACGUCGACCCAAACCCGGCCCGAUAUAUCGGGCUGUGCCGGCCCGGCACUAAAAUAUUUCGGGCCGUGCCGUGCCUGGGCCGUGCUUUUUUUUUUGUGCUUCGGGCCGGCCCAUCAGGCCCGGCCCAAAUGUACACCUAUAUUGUUCACUGCCAAAAAUCAGUAUACAGAGGAGGAUUCUGCUCUCUGGACAGUAGAGCCUAAAAGAUUCAAAGUUCUGGUAUGCAAUCAGAGAGUGUUGAUUAUAAUCUCUUCAGGAGGGUUAUGUAUUUUUCAUGUAUGGAUGCCAGAAUUGGUUGGUUUAUGCAGCAUAAUCAGUUUGCAAUUGAACAAUAUAAAACUAGGAAAUAUCCAGAUUACAACUUGGAGCAUAAAUGUUCCUAGAUUGAAAACAUAUAGAUCUGCUGUUCGCAACUGAAACUGAACUGGACCAUCUCUAUCACUCCCUGUUCGCAACUUGGAGCAUAAAUGUUACUGAUUAUAUAUGUUGGAAAAAAACAGAGCAGAAAGAGGUGCCUUACAAUAAUUAAUAAACAAAGAAAUAACUCACUACUAUUUUAGCUAUAAGUAAUCUCCAAAAUGCAAUCCCUUGUUGAACCAAUAUGGUUAGGACUCAAAAGCAUAAAAUGUAUUUUUAGUGCGUGCUUGUGUCAUGUGUGUACUCUCCAGAAUGCAAUCAGUUUUUAACCAAAUUAUAGGAAAAAGGUGAGGCAGAGAGGGAGACCUUGGCAUCCAUUGUGUAUGUAUGGAUUCCCCUGAAAUCCGUGCAGACAUUUGCAUCGAUAGCCAAUGUAAUCAUCUGUUGAGUUGACACCCAAACAUGUGCUACUGAUGCUUACACAUGCAUAUCCCGACUUGUUCUGCAUUGCUUCGUGGCAGGUCAGAUUGGCAACAGCCCAUUGCACAGAGGACGAUUCCCCAGAGCCAAUGUACAGGCCAGGUUCAUUAGAUACAU
rnacentral:lncRNA from 1 species